rnacentral:rRNA from 1 species
AGGACGAACGCUGGCGGCGUGCUUAACACAUGCAAGUCGAACGGUGACCCGGAGCUUGCUCCGGUGAUCAGUGGCGAACGGGUGAGUAACACGUGGGCAACCUGCCCUUGGCUCUGGGGAUAACUCCGAGAAAUCGGGGCUAAUACCGGAUAUGAAGUCGGAAGGCAUCUUCUGACUUGGAAAGUUUUUCGGCCAAGGAUGGGCCCGCGGCCUAUCAGCUUGUUGGUGGGGUAAUGGCCUACCAAGGCGACGACGGGUA